GACGAACGCUGGCGGCGUGCUUAACACAUGCAAGUCGAACGGUAAGGCCCUUCGGGGUACACGAGUGGCGAACGGGUGAGUAACACGUGGGUGAUCUGCCCUGCACUUCGGGAUAAGCCUGGGAAACUGGGUCUAAUACCGGAUAGGACCACUGCCUGCAUGGGUGGUGGUGGAAAGCUUUUGCGGUGUGGGAUGGGCCCGCGGCCUAUCAGUUUGUUGGGGGGGUGAUGGUCGACCAAGGCGACGACGGGUAGCCGGCCUGGGAGGGUGACCGGCCACACUGGGACUGAGAUACGGCCCAGACUCCUACGGGAGGCAGCAGUGGGGAAUAUUGCACAAUGGGCGCAAGCCUGAUGCAGCGACGCCGCGUGAGGGAUGACGGCCUUCGGGUUGUAAACCUCUUUCAGCACCGACGAAGCGCAAGUGACGGUAGGUGCAGAAGAAGGACCGGCCAACUACGUGCCAGCAGCCGCAGUAA
rnacentral:rRNA from 1 species